GAAUUUCCUGGUGCGAUGAUUCACUAGCUCUAGUUUAUGAAUCAUGGUACAAGACUAGGCGAACGAGAACCUGGAUAAUAUCUCCUGGUUCUACAGAUGUAAGUCCACGUAUAUUAUUUGAUAGGUCAUCAGAAGAUGUUUAUUCUGAUCCCGGCUCCCCUAUGAUGAGAAGAACUCCUUCUGGAACUUAUGUGAUUGCAAAGAUAAAGAAGGAAAAUGAUGAUGGCACCUAUGUUUUGUUGAAUGGAAAUGGUGCUACACCUGAAGGAAAUAUCCCUUUCCUUGAUCUGUUUGACAUGUGAGUAUUCUAGAACCACUUUUCACUAAUGUGUGUUCCUCACCUGCUUCCUGAUACCUAUUGGUGCCAAUGUUCUAAACCAAAUUCUUUCAGAAAUACAGGCAACAAAGAACGAAUUUGGGAAAGUGACAAGGAAAAAUAUUAUGAGACCGUUGUUGCUUUGAUGUCUGAUCAUAAGGAAGGGGAUCUAUAUCUUGAUCAGUUGAAAAUUUUGACUUCAAAGGAAUCAAAAACUGAAAAUACCCAAUAUUAUAUCCAGAGAUGGCCAGAUAAGAAAAUAUGAAAAGCUUUUUCUUCUUUCUGAUUUUUAAUCUCAAAACCUGAAUAGCACUCCACUGGUAUUCUUAGAAUAGUUCAAAAACUAGCUUGAAUAGGGCAUAGGUUGUGCAAUUUUGCAUUUUUCAUUUUGCACAAUGAAUAAUUGGUUAGCUCAUCUCUUUUAUGGUGCUGUUACAAGCUUAAUGCCUUUUAAGUUACAGGAAUACUUGGAUACUGCUGUGAGAUGCAGGGAAUGCAUGUAUGUAUUUGAUUGCCUUGCUUUGGCAACUACUUCAUUGUUAAAACUUCUGAUAUUUAUAGUUUCACCAGAAUAUAGGUUAGUGAUAGUUUCGACAGAAUAUAGGUUAGUAGAUAUGUACAAAUUAUCCAUAUGAAAUAUGUAAUAACUUGUUGGCAGCUGUACCACUGCUUUUUUAAAACCGCCUAAAAGGAUUUAAUCUAGAAUCUUAUCUUGAUAUGUUCUUUCUUUGAUCUUCACAGUGGAAUUUCCUGGUGCGAUGAUUCACUAGCUCUAGUUUAUGAAUCAUGGUACAAGACUAGGCGAACGAGAACCUGGAUAAUAUCUCCUGGUUCUACAGAUGUAAGUCCACGUAUAUUAUUUGAUAGGUCAUCAGAAGAUGUUUAUUCUGAUCCCGGCUCCCCUAUGAUGAGAAGAACUCCUUCUGGAACUUAUGUGAUUGCAAAGAUAAAGAAGGAAAAUGAUGAUGGCACCUAUGUUUUGUUGAAUGGAAAUGGUGCUACACCUGAAGGAAAUAUCCCUUUCCUUGAUCUGUUUGACAUGUGAGUAUUCUAGAACCACUUUUCACUAAUGUGUGUUCCUCACCUGCUUCCUGAUACCUAUUGGUGCCAAUGUUCUAAACCAAAUUCUUUCAGAAAUACAGGCAACAAAGAACGAAUUUGGGAAAGUGACAAGGAAAAAU
rnacentral:lncRNA from 1 species